rnacentral:rRNA from 1 species
GACGUAGGGCGCGAGCGUUGUCCGGAUUUAUUGGGCGUAAAGAGCUCGUAGGCGGCUUGUCGCGUCGAAUGUGAAAUCUCAGGGCUCAACUCUGACAUUGCAUUCGAUACGGGCAGGCUAGAGUUCGGUAGGGGAGACUGGAAUUCCUGGUGUAGCGGUGAAAUGCGCAGAUAUCAGGAAGAACACCCGUGGCGAAGGCGGUUCUCUGGGACGGUACUGACGCUGAGACGCGAAAGCGUGGGGAGCGAACAGG